CAGCAGCCGCGGUAAGACAGAGGAUUUAAGCGUUAUCCGGAAUGAUUGGGCGUAAAGCGUCUGUAGGUGGCUUUCCAAGUCCGUCGUCAAAUCCCAGGGCUCAACCCUGGACAGGCGGUGGAAACUACCAAGCUGGAGUACGGUAGGGGCAGAGGGAAUUUCCAGUGGAGCGGUGAAAUGCGUUGAGAUGUGGAGGAACACCAGUGGCGAAGGCGACUCUCUGGUCUGUAACUGACGCUGAGGAGCGAAAGCGUGGGGAGCGAACAGGAUUAGAGACCCCUGUAGUCCCUGUCUCUUAUAC
rnacentral:rRNA from 1 species